CCACCAGCCAAAGUUCCCAAGCCUGUUCCAGAAGAGAAAGUGCCAGUUCCCAAAAAAGUGCCAGCUCCACCAGCCAAAGUGCCUGAAGUUCCCAAACCUGUCCCAG